GACGUAGGGUCCAAGCGUUGUCCGGAUUUACUGGGCGUAAAGCGCGCGUAGGCGGUCUGUUAAGUGCACAAGUGAAAGCUCCGGGCUCAACUCGGAAAUUGCUUUGCAUACUGGCAGGCUGGAGGGACGCAGAGGUCUGUGGAAUUCCUGGUGUAACGGUGAAAUGUGUUGAUAUCAGGAGGAACACCCAUGGCGAAGGCAGCAGACUGGGCGUUUCCUGACGCUGAGACGCGAAAGCGUGGGGAGCGAACGGG
rnacentral:rRNA from 1 species